rnacentral:rRNA from 1 species
CGGCAUGCUUAACACAUGCAAGUCGUACGGGAAUUUUUAAUUCAAGUGGCGGACGGGUGAGUAACACGUAAGAAUUUGCCUUUAGGAGGGGGACAACAACUGGAAACGGUUGCUAAUACCCCAUAUGCUUUCGAGUGAAAUUGAUUUUUCCGCCUAAAGAGAAGCGUGCGGCUGAUUAGCUUGUUGGUGAGAUAAUGGCUCACCAAGGCGACGAUCAGUAUCUGGUUUGAGAGGAUGAUCAGACACACUGGAACUGAGACACGGUCCAGACUCCUACGGGAGGCAGCAGUGGGGAAUUUUCCGCAAUGGGCGAAAGCCUGACGGAGCAAUCUCGCGUGAGGGAUGACGGCCUAUGGGUUGUAAACCUCUUUUUUCAGGGAGGAACAAAAUGACGUGUACCUGAAGAAUAAGCAUCGGCUAACUCCGUGCCAGCAGCCGCGGUAAGACGG